UGCUAAUAUUGAUUACUGCUGGACUGUGGAUCGCCAACCAACCUGCCCCGUGGUAUGACUGCACUUUACUCUCUGGGCCUACUGCUGUCUGACCGCACACGCUGAAUAAAGCUGACAUCCUCCACGCUUUUCAGAGGAAGACACUGCUGCUGACUUAACUCAGAGUUUACCUGGAGCAGGAGUCUCGUCAUGACCAAGCUACUACUCAUCUCAUUCUUUUUUGUGGUCCUUGUCAUAAGUGUGGAGGCCCUCCGUAUCCCAAGGCGUGCUGAUUGGGCCUCUGACACACUAUCAAUAUAUGACCAGACCAUGGAGAUGAUUGGCGAGAUAGUUGGUCGAGAGAACCUUCGGGCAGCAAUUAUGACAGGAAGUGGAAUAGGAGCACGUAUGCUUGAUGCAACAGCUAACCUUGUGAGAGACGUCAUCAGACCUCUCUUUGAAUAACUUCACUGUCUGUGACUUCUUCAUUGAUGUGGAACCAACCCCAUUGUUCAUCAUCAAUCUGUUACAAAGCCCAGCUAUUGUGAAGAUGCUAGACUGCCAAGCAAAAUAUGUUUUUAAAAUCACUUUUCUUGUAUAUUAGACAAAAUGUUGUGAUGGACUAUAUGGUACAAAGGAUUUUUUUUUGCUCUGGAAUUGUUUCAUCUGACUU